CCUACGGGAGGCAGCAGUGGGGAAUAUUGGACAAUGGGCGCAAGCCUGAUCCAGCCAUGCCGCGUGGGUGAAGAAGGCCUUCGGGUUGUAAAGCCCUUUUGUCCGGAAAGAAAAGCACGGGAUUAAUACCCUCGUGUGAUGACGGUACCGGAAGAAUAAGCACCGGCUAACUUCGUGCCAGCAGCCGCGGUAAUACGAAGGGUGCAAGCGUUACUCGGAAUUACUGGGCGUAAAGCGUGCGUAGGUGGUGCGUUAAGUCUGUCGUGAAAUCCCCGGGCUCAACCUGGGAAUGGCGAUGGAUACUGGCGCGCUAGAGUGAGGUAGAGGAGAGUGGAAUUCCCGGUGUAGCAGUGAAAUGCGUAGAGAUCGGGAGGAACAUCAGUUGCGAAGGCGGCUCUCUGGACCAUCACUGACACUGAGGCACGAAAGCGUGGGGAGCAAACAGGAUUAGAUACCCUGGUAGUCCACGCCCUAAACGAUGCGAACUGGACGUUGGGCUCAAUUGAGAGCUCAGUGUCGAAGCUAACGCGUUAAGUUCGCCGCCUGGGGAGUACGGUCGCAAGACUGAAACUCAAAGGAAUUGACGG
rnacentral:rRNA from 1 species